UACGAAGGGGGCUAGCGUUGCUCGGAAUCACUGGGCGUAAAGCGCACGUAGGCGGACUCUUAAGUCAGGGGUGAAAUCCUGGAGCUCAACUCCAGAACUGCCUUUGAUACUGGGAGUCUUAAGUUCGGGAGAGGUGAGUGGAACUGCGAGUGUAGAGGUGAAAUUCGUAGAUAUUCGCAAGAACACCAGUGGCGAAGGCGGCUCACUGGCCCGGUACUGACGCUGAGGUGCGAAAGCGUGGGGAGCAAACAGG
rnacentral:rRNA from 1 species